UACGGAGGGUGCAAGCGUUAAUCGGAAUCACUGGGCGUAAAGCGCGCGUAGGCGGUUUAUUAAGUCAGAUGUGAAAGCCCUGGGCUCAACCCGGGAACUGCAUUUGAUACUGGUAGACUAGAGUAUGGUAGAGGGGUGUGGAAUUUCCUGUGUAGCGGUGAAAUGCGUAGAUAUAGGAAGGAACACCAGUGGCGAAGGCGACACCCUGGACCAAUACUGACGCUGAGGUGCGAAAGCGUGGGUAGCAAACAGG
rnacentral:rRNA from 1 species